AGAGGAAAGGGAGGGACGGCGCAGGUGCGUUGGGGCUUCGCCGGCUCUCCCUGCGCAGCCAUGAUCCACGAGCUGCUCCUGGCGCUGCGCGGCUACACGGGAGGCCUCUUCGUGGCCGGUGGCGGCGGCGGCGGCGGCAUCGGCGUCGGGCUGCAGGUCUCUCCGGAGGCGCCUCCGCUGCUGCUGCACCCGAGCGAGGCCGGUCUGCUGGGCCGCCUCUGCCGCCUGGGCGCCCUCUACCUCCGCUUCAGCGAGUUCGUCGAGCCCCCCGCCGCCUCCGCCGAGCCGCCGCCCGCCGCCAGCCAGGGCCCCUCCGCCGCCCCCGACCCCGCCGCCCCCUCGCCUCCGCCGCCUCCUUCCUCCGCGCAGGACCCUCCGGCGGGGAUCUACCUGCGGGCCUUCUGCGCCGGUCUGGACGCCGUCCUGCAGCCCUACCGCCAGGCCCUCCUGGACCUCGAGCAGCAGUUCCUGGCCGACCCUCACCUGACCGUCUCCCACGUCAACUACUCCCUGGACCAGUUCCAGCUCCUGUUCCCUUCCUUGAUGACGGUGGUGGAGCAGAUCAAGACCCAGAAGAUCCAUGGCUGCCAGAUCUUGGAGACCGUCCAUAGACACAGCCGGGGUGGAUUGCCCCCCGUGCGCCAGGCGCUAGAGAAGGUCUUGGCCACAUGCCACGCCGUCAUGUACAAGCAGCUCUCUGCCUGGAUGCUUCAUGGGCUGCUCCUGGAUCAGCACGAGGAAUUCUUUGUCAAGCAAGGCCCUUCGUCGGGGACCGUGCCCACGCAGCUGGAAGAGGACGAGGACGACCUGGGCAUCGGGGGUCUGACUGGAAAGCAGCUGCGGGAGCUGCAGGAUAUGAGGCUGAUCGAAGAGGAAAAUAUGUUGGCUCCUUCUCCGAAGCAAUUCUCGCUGCGGAUAGAGAUGCUGCCUUCCUACAUCCCUGUGCGCGUGGCUGAGAAAAUCCUCUUUGUGGGCGAGUCUGUCCAGAUGUUUGAGAGUCAGAACGUGAGCCUCAGCAAAAAAGGCUCCAUCCUGAAGAACCAGGAGGACACUUUUGCUGCUGAGCUGCACCGUCUCAAGCAGCGGCCGCUCUUCAGUUUGGUGGACUUUGAGUCUGUGGUGGACUGGAUACGAAGCACCGUGGCAGAGCACUUAUGGAAGCUGAUGGUGGAAGAAUCAGAUUUAAUAGGACAACUGAAGAUUAUUAAAGACUUCUAUCUCUUGGGGAGAGGAGAAUUGUUUCAGGCCUUCAUUGACACUGCCCAGCAGAUGUUAAAGACACCUCCCACGGCAGUGACGGAGCACGACGUGAACGUGGCCUUCCAGCAGUCUGCCCACAAAGUGCUGCUGGAUGAUGACAACCUGCUGCCUCUCCUUCACCUCACCAUCCACUACCAUGGAAAGGAGCACCGAGAUGCUUCUCAGGCCCGUGAGGUGCCUUCUCGGGAAUUGUCUCCCCACGAAUCCCCCACGUCUGGCUGGGCUGCUCUGGGGCUUUCCUACAAGGUGCAGUGGCCGCUGCAUAUCCUCUUCACUCCUGCCAUUCUUGAAAAGUACAACGUGGUCUUCAAGUACCUGCUGAGCGUCCGGCGGGUCCAGGCAGAGCUGCAGCAUUGCUGGGCUCUGCAGAUGCGGAGCAAGCGCCUGGAGUCCAGCAGGACAGAUGCAAUCAAGUGGCGGCUGCGGCACCACAUGACUUUCCUGGUGGACAACCUGCAAUACUACCUGCAGGUGGAUGUCCUGGAGUCCCAGUUCUCACAGCUGUUGCAGCAGAUCAAUGGCACCCGUGACUUUGAGAGCAUCCGACUGGCUCAUGACCACUUUUUGAGCAAUUUACUGGCCCAGUCUUUCAUACUGUUGAAACCAGCUUUCCACUGCCUCAAUGAAAUCCUGGAUCUCUGCCACAGCUUCUGCUCGCUGGUCAGCCAGAACCGGGGACCCCUGGACGAGCGGGGAACCGCCCAGCUGAGCAUUUUGGCCAAGGGUUUCAGCUGCCAGUCUUCACUUCUGUUUAAGAUUCUGUCCAGUGUUCAUAACCACCAGAUAAAUUCAGACUUGGCUCAAUUGCUGUUACGCUUGGACUACAACAAGUACUACACGCAGGCAGGAGGCACUUUGGGCAGCGCUGCCAGUGCUGGGCUGGGAGGAUGAGGCCUUCCUGGUGCCACUGCUGUACUACUGCUCCCGCCAGGCCUGGCUGAUGGGUGCUGCAAUCCAGCCAUAUCUGUGAGCGUUGGGCUGAUAGACCAGUGACCGGUCCAUUGGCGAGGCCAGUGUGGUCCACUAUUGCUGCCGGUCUUCGCCAGUGCUGGAGAGGCACCGCCUGCGAAGGGGGAGGAUGGGUCCAGGAGUCCUGGUGAGAGGAACCGCGGCAUGACUUCUGUGAAGCCUAAGCGUGGCACUUGGAAACAGUUCUUCCCCGGCCCAAGCCCAGUGACUUUAGUUAAAUGUCUCCAGUGCUGCUCCCACCCAAAAGGAAAGUGAAAAUGCCAUUUGGCUGGCCUGGUCUUCCAACCUGUGACUGUAGUUGUGUGUAUCGUCUGUCUUAUAAAAAUUGGAUACCCUACUCGAGAAAUCUACUUCUGACAAAGAGAAUGCAGAAAUGGAGGGAGAAAGUAUGUAUGCCUCCCUCAGAGGAUGGGAUAUCGCUGGUGCUUUGCGCUAAAAAGCCCCGCAGUGAGAGACUUUCCAGUAAUUCACUGCUCACCCGCCCCACUUUUGCAGAAUUGUCCGGUGCCUGAGAUACAACUGGGAGGGCAGGAUAGUCUUCCUGAUGCAACCACUCACUCCGGUAGGACUAAAUAAAUGGAGUCUCCUUUUGCCUUCUACUUUGCCACUGCGGUUGCGAAGCUAUAUGCAAACUGAGUGCUUCUGCGGAGGGGCGACUGCAUCUUGCUGCCCGGGAACAUGCCACAGAGGUGCCCCGCUUACCAUGCAUGGACUGGGAUGGGAGGCAAACCUGGUUCAGAGGUGUGAGGGUCACUUGCACUGAUAAUAUGGCUGGUGGUGAGGGUGUCCAAUGCUUGCGUGUGAUGUACAUUGUAAAACAUAAGCAAACUGAAGGUUCUUCAGAUGUUUCUUGCGCGCCUCACAAAAAUAAAGAUAGAAUUAUAAAUAC